CAGGCUUAACACAUGCAAGUCGAGGGGCAGCAUGGUCUUAGCUUGCUAAGGCCGAUGGCGACCGGCGCACGGGUGAGUAACACGUAUCCAACCUGCCGUCUACUCUUGGACAGCCUUCUGAAAGGAAGAUUAAUACAAGAUGGCAUCAUGAGUCCGCAUGUUCACAUGAUUAAAGGUAUUCCGGUAGACGAUGGGGAUGCGUUCCAUUAGAUAGUAGGCGGGGUAACGGCCCACCUAGUCUUCGAUGGAUAGGGGUUCUGAGAGGAAGGUCCCCCACAUUGGAACUGAGACACGGUCCAAACUCCUACGGGAGGCAGCAGUGAGGAAUAUUGGUCAAUGGGCGAGAGCCUGAACCAGCCAAGUAGCGUGAAGGAUGACUGCCCUAUGGGUUGUAAACUUCUUUUAUAAAGGAAUAAAGUCGGGUAUGGAUACCCGUUUGCAUGUACUUUAUGAAUAAGGAUCGGCUAACUCCGUGCCAGCAGCCGCGGUAAUACGGAGGAUCCGAGCGUUAUCCGGAUUUAUUGGGUUUAAAGGGAGCGUAGAUGGAUGUUUAAGUCAGUUGUGAAAGUUUGCGGCUCAGCCGUAAAAUUGCAGUUGAUACUGGAUAUCUUGAGUGCAGUUGAGGCAGGCGGAAUUCGUGGUGUAGCGGUGAAAUGCUUAGAUAUCACGAAGAACUCCGAUUGCGAAGGCAGCCUGCUAAGCUGCAACUGACAUUGAGGCUCGAAAGUGUGGGUAUCAAACAGGAUUAGAUACCCUGGUAGUCCACACGGUAAACGAUGAAUACUCGCUGUUUGCGAUAUACUGCAAGCGGCCAAGCGAAAGCGUUAAGUAUUCCACCUGGGGAGUACGCCGGCAACGGUGAAACUCAAAGGAAUUGACGGGGGCCCGCACAAGCGGAGGAACAUGUGGUUUAAUUCGAUGAUACGCGAGGAACCUUACCCGGGCUUAAAUUGCAGAUGAAUUACGGUGAAAGCCGUAAGCCGCAAGGCAUCUGUGAAGGUGCUGCAUGGUUGUCGUCAGCUCGUGCCGUGAGGUGUCGGCUUAAGUGCCAUAACGAGCGCAACCCUUGUUGUCAGUUACUAACAGGUUCCGCUGAGGACUCUGACAGGACUGCCAUCGUAAGAUGUGAGGAAGGUGGGGAUGACGUCAAAUCAGCACGGCCCUUACGUCCGGGGCUACACACGUGUUACAAUGGGGGGUACAGAGGGCCGCUACCACGCGAGUGGAUGCCAAUCCCCAAAACCUCUCUCAGUUCGGACUGGAGUCUGCAACCCGACUCCACGAAGCUGGAUUCGCUAGUAAUCGCGCAUCAGCCACGGCGCGGUGAAUACGUUCCCGGGCCUUGUACACACCGCCCGUCAAGCCAUGGGAGCCGGGGGUACCUGAAGUGCGUAACCGCGAGGAGCGCCCUAGGGUAAAACUGGUGACUG
rnacentral:rRNA from 1 species